rnacentral:rRNA from 1 species
GACGUAGGUGGCGAACGUUAUCCGGAAUUAUUGGGCGUAAAGGGUGCGUAGGCGGCAUGAUAAGUUAUUGGCGGCAAAUCGAGGCUCAACCUCGUGGAAACUGAUAAUACUGUCUUGCUUGAGUGCAGAAGAGGUUAACGGAACUCCAUGUGGAGCGGUAAAAUGUGUAGAUAUAUGGAAGAACAUCAAUAACGGCGAAGGCAGUUAACUAUUCUGUUACUGACGUUGAGGCACGAAAGCGUGGGGA